rnacentral:tRNA from 1 species
GCCUGGGUGGCUCAGUCGGUUAAGCGUCUGACUUCGGCUCAGGUCAUGAUCUCAUGGUUCGUGAGUUCAAGCCCCACAUCGGGCU